rnacentral:rRNA from 1 species
UACGUAGGGUGCAAGCGUUGUCCGGAAUUAUUGGGCGUAAAGGGCUCGUAGGCGGUCCAUCACGUCGGGAGUGAAAAGCUGGGGCUUAACCCCAGUCCUGCUUCCGAUACGGGUGGACUAGAGGUAGGCAGGGGAGAACGGAAUUCCUGGUGUAGCGGUGAAAUGCGCAGAUAUCAGGAGGAACACCGGUGGCGAAGGCAGGUCUCUGGGCAUUAACUGACGCUGAGGAGCGAAAGCAUGGGGAGCGAACAGG